rnacentral:rRNA from 1 species
UACGUAGGGGGCAAGCGUUGUCCGGAUUUAUUGGGCGUAAAGAGCGUGUAGGCGGCCUGAAAGGUCAGCUGUGAAAACUCGAGGCUCAACCUCGAGACGUCGGUUGAAACCAUCUGGCUAGAGUCCGGAAGAGGAGUGUGGAAUUCCCGGUGUAGCGGUGAAAUGCGCAGAUAUCGGGAAGAACACCCGUGGCGAAGGCGGCACUCUGGGACGGUACUGACGCUGAGACGC